UAUACAGGUGUGCAACAUCACACCCACCUUAUACAGGUGUGCAACAUCACACCCACUUUAUACAGGUGUGCAACAUCACACCCACUUUAUACAGUUGUUCAUCACCACACCCACUUUAUACAGGUGUACAACAUCACACCCACUUUAUACAGGUGUGCAAUGUCACACCCACUUUAUAUAGGUGUGCACCACUGCACCCUCUUUAGCAUGCUGGGGAUCUACCUCAGGGCUUAAUGCAUGAUAGGUAAGCACUCUACUCAGUCCUCCUUGAGAAUCUUCUAGUUCAGUGUGACCCCUGGACCAGCAGCAUCAGCUGAGAUGCAUCAAGAAUGCAGAUUCCAGGCCCCAGCCCUAAGGAAACAGCACCUACAUUUUCGGCGAAUCACUGAGUGAUUGUGGACAUGGGUACGAGAACCCCUGGCCUGAGGAGUGAAGAGGUGGAACUCGGCAGUUCCCGAGACCCAACUCUACAGGUCAGGUCAGGAAACUUGUCCGGCGAGAAGGCAGUAAAGAGUGACACCUUCUGCAGUCACCGCAGACACAGACUCGGGGUUGAGGACACAAAGGUUGGUGUUACCAUCCCAAGUGUGGAGGCUGAGAGUAACUUGGCAUGGGCACUGGCAGAGAUGCGUGUGCUGGUGAGAAACUGAGGCCUCCAGAGCUGCCAGGGCUUUUUCCUAAGGCCAAGAAUCUUCCCCUUCCACUGCCAACAAUGCGGUAUAACAAGGGCCUAAGAACUGGCAUUCUUCUGGGAAACUCCACGUGGGGAGUGAAGAUGGGCCACCCCCAGAAGCCUGGUGCCAAGAGAAACGCUGGUGUGCAUAGUCCCUGGCUUUUUCCUCUGCAUGUUGCCACUCUGAUGUGAGCCAGGUGGAGGUGGACUGAGACUCACCCACCCACCUCAGUUUUGGACAAAACCAUGAAUAAAUUAAUUUUCCAUCUCUCUA